AUUGCUGUAGCGCGGGUUGUAAUUGAUGAAAGCAUAGCCGCGCGCCUGGUCAAUGAUAUGGAACAGCGGGUUCCAAUCGAACAUUGCAAUCAUGAAAGACGGCAGGCUGUUCGCCAGAAACAUCUUGCCGGACGCGACCAUGUUGGCCCGUUG
rnacentral:ncRNA from 1 species